rnacentral:tRNA from 1 species
GUGGACAUAGUUUAAACCAAGACAUCAGACUGUGAACCUGAAGACAGAAGCUCAUCCCUUCUUAUCCACC